rnacentral:rRNA from 2 species
AUAGGGGAGCCGAAGGGAAACCGAGUCUUAACUGGGCGUUAAGUUGCAGGGUAUAGACCCGAAACCCGGUGAUCUAGCCAUGGGCAGGUUGAAGGUUGGGUAACACUAACUGGAGGACCGAACCGACUAAUGUUGAAAAAUUAGCGGAUGACUUGUGGCUGGGGGUGAAAGGCCAAUCAAACCGGGAGAUAGCUGGUUCUCCCCGAAAGCUAUUUAGGUAGCGCCUCGUGAACUCAUCUUCGGGGGUAGAGCACUGUUUCGGCUAGGGGGUCAUCCCGACUUACCAACCCGAUGCAAACUGCGAAUACCGAAGAAUGUUAUCACGGGAGACACACGGCGGGUGCUAACGUCCGUCGUGAAGAGGGAAACAACCCAGACCGCCAGCUAAGGUCCCAAAGUCACAGUUAAGUGGGAAACGAUGUGGGAAGGCUCAGACAGCCAGGAUGUUGGCUUAGAAGCAGCCAUCAUUUAAAGAAAGCGUAAUAGCUCACUGGUCGAGUCGGCCUGCGCGGAAGAUGUAACGGGGCUAAACUGUGCACCGAAGCUGCGGCAGCGACGCUUAUGCGUUGUUGGGUAGGGGAGCGUUCUGUAAGCCUGCGAAGGUGUCCUGUGAGGGAUGCUGGAGGUAUCAGAAGUGCGAAUGCUGACAUAAGUAACGAUAAUGCGGGUGAAAAGCCCGCUCGCCGGAAGACCAAGGGUUCCUGUCCAACGUUAAUCGGGGCAGGGUGAGUCGACCCCUAAGGCGAGGCCGAAAGGCGUAGUCGAUGGGAAACGGGUUAAUAUUCCCGUACUUGGUGUUACUGCGAAGGGGGGACGGAGAAGGCUAUGUUGGCCGGGCGACGGUUGUCCCGGUUUAAGCGUGUAGGCUGGUUUUCCAGGCAAAUCCGGAAAAUCAAGGCUGAGGCGUGAUGACGAGGCACUACGGUGCUGAAGCAACAAAUGCCCUGCUUCCAGGAAAAGCCUCUAAGCAUCAGGUAACAUCAAAUCGUACCCCAAACCGACACAGGUGGUCAGGUAGAGAAUACCAAGGCGCUUGAGAGAACUCGGGUGAAGGAACUAGGCAAAAUGGUGCCGUAACUUCGGGAGAAGGCACGCUGACACGUAGGUGAAGU